CAUAUCUGCGUAGAAAAAUCAUAUAAAAAUAGUUUGAAUAUGAACAUUUGCAUUGAAAAAUAACCCCGCCGCGCCUACACUGGUUAUUGUCAAACCAACAACAGUGGAUCCGACAAACUCCAAUGUAGAGACACAAAAAAGUUUGUCUUAAAAUUGAAUUUAGAUAUGAUUUUGUCUCUUGUGAUGUUUUCCCUUGGGGAAAAAAAAUAACCAUUUUGGCUGUAAACCAUUUUGUCCUAAUUUUCCCUAUAAACCAAAGUUUCAUUUCCUCAUAUUCCAACCUGCAAAAGGAUUAGCUUUUACUUUCCCUCUUCUUUUUACGUGAGAAAAUCUUAGCUGGGUCAGUUUCAAAUUUUCAAAUUCGAAACUUGAGGAGCCGUGUUUCAGUCUGCUCUGUAAUGCUUCUGAAAAGGUCUUUUGGUGAACUUGCUACCCUUCUUUGGAUUCUGCUAAUGUAGCCCCCUAAGGGUUGGUUGGUUUUUAGCAGAUUUGAUUCUGCAUCAUCGUAGCUAUUCUUGAUUGGUGGUCCUCUUAGAUUAUCUGGCUAUAUCCAUCAGAGCUUUGAACAUUUGGGAGUUUGAUUGUAGCUAAAAGAAGCAUGGAAGGCACUAAGGGUGACGAAGGAUCCAUUACAGUAGGAACCACUGGAACAAUCAGCUUAUUGAUGACAAAGGAAUUGGAUCAGAUGUCUGGUGUUCCACAGCAGGAUCUAUCUUCAACAAGUAAACCUCGAAUUUCGGUUUCAAGUGGUAGUGCUACGCCGAAACGACCACAACCAAGAAAAUCAUUUGAAGCUAGCAGUAGUAGUAGUACUAGUAGUAAUGUUACAAACCAUAUAAGCUCAGGGAUUGGCCCCAAAACAAAACAUAAUGGCAAACAUACCCAUCAAAUACCCAUGCUUGGUUCCCACACCCUUCCAUUGGAGGCAAGUCCAGUUAUGAAGAAAAAGGAUAAGAAGAAAAAAUCAAAAUUUGUGGAAGUUGUGGACAUCAAGUGUGGUUAUGCAGAUAAAGCUUGGGCCACACCUAUCACAAAUUCUCUCAAGAAGUUGGGUUUCUCAAAGCUCUCUGAGAGCAUUACCUAAAGCUGGAAUUGUAUGUCAGACUUCAGGUUCUUGUAGCUGAAAGCAGAAAUUACAUUUGGCUUACUGUUGUCUAUUAUAUCGACCAUAGAACACAUGCUUGGCAAGAGCUUGCUACUUCCUCGCUUUUUCUUUCUUGUUUCUACUCUGGAUACAGUUGAGGGUCUGGAAUCAGUGCUAACUGAGGAAUCCAUGUUGAUGGUUUGAGAUUUGUUGUUCUGUGACCAGCCAUUGGAAUUUAGUUCAAGCCGGCUAAAGUACUCAAUUUCUUGCAUUAGAAGGGACCCAACUGUGCCUCUGGUGCCUAUUUCUACAGGUGGAAAUUCAGCCAUUUCUUUUUGUGUUGCUUGUGGCAAGGAUGGUGGGUGUCUGUAUGCUUUAUAUUGUUGGUGUCAAGGAGAAAGAAAAAGUGGGAUUGAAGUGGAUUGAUUUUGUUGUAUGUUUGAUGAACUUUUCCACAAGCUGAGGCAUUUUCUUUAGUUUCACAGAAGCUCUCCACUCCACCAUGUACUAUUUAUACGAAGUGCAUGGCAUGUAUUAUGUUUAUGGUUGUAGAGUUAGUUGGUGACAUGACAUUGUCAUUCCAUUCAUGUGCAUGCAGUAAAAAGUAUUAUCCUUGUAAUUUCAUGUUUAAUCAUGUCUAGCUACAUCCCAAUAAUAAGUUCAUUAUUUGAGACUAUGGUCAGUGUAAUUUGGAGCAGAUGAAUUCAUGUGAAAGAAGAAAUUGGACCAUCACUUUGUUUGACUUCUGAGCAAGCCAAUGUAACAUUUUGGUGUCUUUCCAUUUGAGUACUUUUCAGGUAGUGAUUUUGUUUUGGUUGGUUUCAUCCAUCAUAUAAUCUGGUUUUCUAUUGAGAUGUGAAGGGGAGUGGGAGAGACAUUUAACAUUGUAUGCUCAAAGACAAUGCUUUAGUUAUCCUCAGACUAGGAUUUACAGUUUCCUAUUUUCACUGUUUAUAAUUAAAAUAUUUGGUAAGAUGGAGAGAGGGUAGAAGAAUUGUUAGUAGGAAAACCGUGUUGAGGGUUUCAUAUAUUUUUCUUACACUAAAAUUUACUCAUUGCAAGUUGCAACUGUACUAUAUCACCAUGCUUCACAUAUCUGGUUUUGAUACAUUUUAGUUGUUGUCUACAUUGGGAAACCCAUUUGUUUGGUUUUUUAUAUUUUCUAUAUGAUUUUAUUGUCACCCCCACUUUACACUACCCAAAAAAAUACUCUGCAAGUUUGAGGAACUAACGCAAUGUGUCACUUUUUGUGGACCCUUUGCUGCAUUUGUUUGUAGUGGAGUCAUUCACGGGUGCUCCAUUAAUUUGUAUGUGGACUUCUUGGACAUAUAUUCCUUUCACAAGAUAGAAAGCAAAGGUUCUUAUCAAAGCUGUGUAACACUUUCAUUCACUAAAGGGACCGAUUUCUUACCAUUUAUUCUGUGUAUUGUAAGAGUACCACUGCUCAUAAGCUUCUACUUCGAAGGAGAAAUUAUGUCAUUGUCAUGCAAAGAAAUAGACAGAUCAACUUGGUACAAGUUAGUGAUCCUAGUUUCCCAAGAUAACCAAUUUUGUGAGUGAUUAGAUUAGUUUUUUAACCAUGGUAAGGUAAUGUAAAGCAGCUAUAAGGACAAUUCCCCUGUUAUUUUCAAUC